GCCUGGGUGGCUCAGUUGGUUAAGCGGCUGACUUCGGCUCAGGUCAUGAUCUCACGGUUCGUGGGUUCGAGCCCCGCGUCGGGCU
rnacentral:tRNA from 1 species